rnacentral:misc_RNA from 1 species
GCGCCACCCAAUUGUGCCUAGGGGCUUUGGCCUCUUCAACCUUGGCAGACGCCGCAUCAUUGGCACCCAAGUAGCUGUGCCUCGUGAAAUCACCAGGAACGAUGCUCCAACCGUGGACUGUGGUCGCCCCAUUCCUAAGGAAAGGGAGGACCGAUGGCUGGAGGUUCAGCUUGGUGAAUUCUUAACCGAUGGGGUUAACGGAGAGCUUGAGGUGAGCGUGUCGGAGGUGAAGGGCGGCCAUUGGAA